rfam:Triticum aestivum genome assembly, contig: Triticum_aestivum_CS42_TGACv1_scaffold_093996_2AL
CUAAUACUUCCUCCGUUCCAAAUUACUUGUCGUGAAAAUGAAUGUAUCUAGAAUUAAAUUACAUCUAAAUACAUCCAUACCUACGACAAGUAAUUCGGAACGGAGGGAGUAGAUU